rnacentral:rRNA from 1 species
UGCGCAGGCGGUCCCGCAAGUCCGUUGUGAAAGCCCCGGGCUUAACCUGGGAAUGGCAGUGGAAACUAGGGGACUUGAAUCUGGCAGAGGGGGGUGGAAUGCCACGUGUAGCAGUGAAAUGCGUAGAGAUGUGGCGGAACACCGAUGGCGAAGGCAGCCCCCUGGGCUGAGAUUGACGCUCAGGCACGAAAGCGUGGGGAGCAAACAGGAUUAGAUACCCUGGUAGUCCACGCCCUAAACGAUGAUCACUAGGUGUUGGGGAAGCGAUUUCUCAGUACCGCAGCUAACGCGUGAAGUGAUCCGCCUGGGGAGUACGGUCGCAAGAUUAAA